GUGGGCAGACUUGACCCCAGUCAAGGCUGCAGACGUGCCCUGAUUUGGAACCCUGUGCUGGUGUCAGUUACACCAGUGGUUUUCAAACUUGAGCUUGUGUCUGGGUCACCUGGAGGGCUUGUUAAAACACAGAGUGCUGGGCUCCCCCAGUUUCUGACUCAGCAGGUCUGGGAUAGGGCCUGGGAAUAUGCAUUUCUAAUAAGUCCCCAGUGGUGUGGCUGCUGCUGCUUGGGAGAAUCAUAGGUCUGCUCCAGGGUCCUACUGUCAACUUGUGAAACGUUCUCUCUUUAGUUCUUUUUGCAAAGAAACAUCAGAUUAGAUGGAAGAAUGAAUGGAAGUUAAAAAAAAAUCAAAAUGACCUACAUGUCCAUCAACUGAUGAGUGGAUAAAUUAUGGGAUAUCCAUACAAGGAAAUAUUAUUAAGCCAUAAAAAGUAAUGAAAUAUUAAUAUACCUUACAAUAUGUGAAUGAUCUUUGAAAACAUGCUAAAUGAAAAAAGCCAGUCACAAAAGCCCACCUAUUAUAUGAAUUAAUUUAAAUGAUAUAUCCAGGCAAAUUCAUAGAGACAGAAAGCAGUUAAUGGUUGCCAGGAGCUGGAAGCAGGGUUGGAACGAGGAGCGACUGCUUAUUGUGCUUCCCAGUAUGAUGAUAAAAACGUUGAACUAAAUAGUGGUGAUGGCUACACCACACUGUGACUGUACCUUUUAGCCCCAAAUUGCAUAUUUUAAAAAUGAC
rnacentral:lncRNA from 1 species